rnacentral:rRNA from 1 species
AAUAUAUAUAUAUUGUUAUUUAUUUUAUUAAUUUAUUUUUUUAUAAGAAUAAUUUUGUUUUUAGUAUUUUUUAUGGAAAUAAUUAUUUUAACUAUAGUUUAUAGUACUGUGAAGGGAUUUUGUGAUUUUUUGUUUAAGUAUACUUUUUUUGUAGUACCUUUUGUAUCAGGGUUUAUUUAAUUUUAAUUAAUUAUUAUUAAUUUUCCCGAAAUUAAAAGAGAUAUAAUUUAAUGGGGUUUAAUGUAUUAUAAUUAUUCUUAAUUUAUUUAUAGGGGUUAUAUGCUAUUCAAUUUUAAAUAUCUGGUUAUUUAAUAAAUUAAUUUAAUUAAGACUAAUUUUGGUUAUUGGAAAAUUUUAUUUUGUUUAAUUUAAUUAGUUAAUAUUAAAGGGGAUAAGCUCUUUAUUAUUUUUAUAAUCAUUUUUAUGCUUAAUUUAUAGUAGGCUUAGAAACAGCCAUCUUUAUUUCGUUAUAGUUAAUUUUUAUAGGUGUUUUAUUUUUUUAUGAUUUAAUUUUUUAUUAAAUUAUUUAAUUUAAUUUGUAAAUUUUGGUAAUUAUGAUAAUAUUAGUAGUUUUUUAUAUUUAAAUAUAGGAAUUCGGCAAAAUUAGACUUCGCCUGUUUAACAAAAACAUGUCCUAUUGUUAUAUUAUUAAUAGGUCUGACCUGCCCAAUGAUUAUUUUAAUGGCCGUAGUAUUUUAACUAUGCAAAGGUAGCAUAAUCAUUUGUCUUUUAAUUGGGGACUUGUAUGAAUGGUUGGACGAGAGACUAACUUUCUUUAUUUAAUUGUUAUGAAUUUAAUUUUUUAGUUAAAAAGCUUAAAUUUUUUUGUAGGACGAGAAGACCCUAUAGAAUUUUAUUUUAUUAAUUAUAUUUAUUAAUUAUUAUAAAUGACAAAUUUAAUUUAUAUAAUUUUGUUGGGGUGAUAGUGAAAUUUAUUUAACUUUCAUUUUUAUAUAUCAUUGAUUUAUGUGUUUUUUGAUCCUGAAUAAGUUGGAUUAUAAGAUUAAAUUACCUUAGGGAUAACAGCGUAAUUUAUUUGGAGAGUUCUUAUCUAUGAAUUAAGUUUGCGACCUCGAUGUUGGAUUAAAAUAUGUUUAUAAUGAAGGUGUUAUAAUACUAAGUCUGUUCGACUUUUAAAAUUUUACAUGAUCUGAGUUCAAACCGGCGUGAGCCAGGUUGGUUUCUAUCCACAAAAUUUUAUUUUAUAUUUUAGUACGAAAGGACCAAUUAUAAAUAAUAUUUAUUUAAUUUUGAAUAUUAAUAA